CGCGGCCUAUCAGCUUGUUGGUGAGGUAAUGGCUUACCAAGGCGACGACGGGUAGCCGGCCUGAGAGGGCGACCGGCCACACUGGGACUGAGACACGGCCCAGACUCCUACGGGAGGCAGCAGUGGGGAAUAUUGCACAAUGAGCGAAAGCCUGAUGCAGCGACGCCGCGUGGGGGAUGACGGCCUUCGGGUCGUAAACCUCUUUCAGCAGGGACGAAGCGAGAGUGACGGUACCUGCAGAAGAAGCACCGGCCAACUACGUGCCAGCAGCCGCGGUAAUACGUAGGGUGCAAGCGUUGUCCGGAAUUACUGGGCGUAAAGAGCUCGUAGGUGGUUUGUCGCGUCUGCCGUGAAAGCCCGGGGCUCAACUCCGGAUCUGCGGUGGGUACGGGCAGACUAGAGUGAUGUAGGGGAGACUGGAAUUCCUGGUGUAGCGGUGAAAUGCGCAGAUAUCAGGAGGAACACCGAUGACGAAGGCAGGUCUCUGGGCAGUAACUGACGCUGAGGAGCGAAAGCAUGGGGAGCGAACAGGAUUAGAUACCCUGGUAGUCCAUGCCGUAAACGGUGGGCGCUAGGUGUGAGUCCCUUCCACGGGGUUCGUGCCGUAGCUAACGCAUUAAGCGCCCCGCCUGGGGAGUACGG
rnacentral:rRNA from 1 species